rnacentral:lncRNA from 1 species
UAUGAACUAGGGAUACAAUUUAAUUUUUUUAAGAUGGUUGCCCACUUAUUGCAACAUCAUUUAUUGUGUAAUCCACCUUUUAUUUAUUGAUUUGUAGCUAGUCUAUUUUGAAACUUUUAGGCCUUUCAGUAAACUCAAUUCAUUGUCUAAUACCACACUGUUUUAAUUAUUAUAGCUUUAAAAUAUGCCUUACUGUCUGGUUGGGAUAAUUUCUUGCUAGUACUCUUUUUCAUGAUUUUUUAUUAUUCUUGCCAUUUUUUUCAUAUGAGCUCUAGAAUCAAUUUUUUUUUCAAAAGAAAAACAAAUCUGCUUUCUGUUUUUAGUAGAGUGAAUUAAAUUUCCAUAUUAAUUUAGGGAGAUUUGACUUAACAUGUUGGAUGUUGAUUUCACAGAUGGUAGCUCGUCGUUUUGGCUCCUUAGCCAAGCAUGUCAUCAACUGUCUGAAUUGUGGUUGCUUCCAUAGUGAUCCAAGAAACUGAGAGCAACAUUUCACUGCCUGCCCUUCAGCUUCCAAGAUCCUGUCUCUCUCACUCUAUCCAGUAGGACCCCUUCCUUGUGCUGAAAGAAUCCCUUUGCUCCGAACCAGAUGUUUUCCCCCAGGGCUCUGCUUUAAGUCGCGUGUGGGUUGGCAUUUUAUGGGAGAGUCUGUGUUCCAGCUGCACAGUGGCCCCACAAAGGUUGAAACAGCUGCCAACUGAGAGUAGGCACCGCCCGAGGCCUUUCAGAGCUCCUUUUAACUACAAAUACAACAUCAAACAAGAUGGCGGAUGGCUUCAUUAGCAGCCUGUCUGAAAAGCACUUUCUCACUUUGAGAUAAAAAUGUUCUGAAGAGUUUGUUUCGGUCUACUAAUGAAUAUUUCAUCCCCAGUGGAGGGAACACAUGGGGGAGUGUGACACAAACAACCCUACCAUGAACUUACCCACACUUUGUGUUCAAGUGGUGUGGGUAUCUGGAGAGGAGCGCUGACUCUUUUCCAACGUGGUUUUCCUGUUGUUUGGUUUGAUUCGCCAUGUGAAACAACUGAAUUCUCACUUACAGUCUCCAAGUGUGGUACAUACAUGAGACAUUAAAUGAGAGCAAUAUUUGUUUAGUAAACAUCUAAUUUCAGGGUUUUAAAGCCCUCCCUCCUAAAGAUUUUUAUUAGGGUGAAACUUCACAUGGAAUACAAAAUUAAAAUGUUUACCAAUAAGCACGUUUUGCUGUGUUGCAUGAUGACUUUAAUUUUUGAGUUAAAAAAAAAUCUUUGAAGUGUAUCAGCCCUUACAUGUUCACGAGAUCUGGAGGAUGAGGCCCUUCAUUUGCAUUUUUGUAUUUUCUUUAGCUCAAAAUAGAUUUGAUUAAAAAACAAAAUUUGGCACAAGAUUAAUCCAUAACAGGAUUUUAUUGCUUCUGUUAUUUAAAAGAAACAAACAAACAGUGUUACUCUUUGAGGUGUGAUUAGCUCAUAAG